UACUUAGUGGCAAACGGGUGCGUAACGCGUAAGCAACCUGCCCUCAACUGGGGGAUAGCCCGGCGAAAGCUGGGGUAAACCCGCACGGUCCAGUGGAAUCACCUGGUUCUAUUGGUAAACAUUGAUGGGUUGAGGAGGGGCUUGCGUCUGAUUAGCUAGUUGGCGGGGUAAAGGCCCACCAAGGCUGUGAUCAGUAGGGGUUCUGAGAGGAUUGGCCCCCACAUGGGUACUGAGAUACGGACCCA
rnacentral:rRNA from 1 species